rnacentral:lncRNA from 1 species
UAAACCUCUCCACAGCCUUCCAUGGGCUAUCUUCUAGGAAAUGACCAAAGCCUCCCUAAUCAUUUAUCUACUCUCCAGCAUCUUUUGUCUGCGGUUGAGUAGAGAUAUGGGCAACGGUUAUAUUUCUUUUUAAGUUUUUUAUGAUCCAAUAUAAUUUCUGCUACAUCUUAGAACCAACCAUAGCUCACAUAGUAAGCCAAUAAAAGCUCGCCACAUAGCUGCAGGCUGACCAUUGAGAGCUCGUGGCAUAACUGACCUAAAAGGUGCACAGAGAGUCCUGCACCUCCACCGACUGGUGACAAUUUGGUCCAAGAUUAUGAACGGUUUUCUUACCGCGCAAUAUAUGAAGUAUCCACGCAUGUGGAACAUGUGGGUGUGAUCUUCGGGCAUGAUGUGUGAGCUGUUACUAUAACGACCAAAACACAUGCUCGAUUUACUCGAAGACGGCUGCCAGCCCUCAUCUAUAUAAAACACAUCCGAGGGCCUUCUAGGUAAGUUCUUUUUGAUCCUAC